GUCUACGGCCAUACCACUCUGAACGCGCCCCAUCUUGUUUCAUCUCAGAAGCUAAGCACGGUCAGGCCUGGUUAGUACUUGGAUGGGGAGGUAUGGGGAAUCAAAUAGUGAUCACCU
ensembl:rRNA 5S_rRNA 5S ribosomal RNA